GCUCCCAAGUCAUAAACUUUUUCACGCUAAACGCUUCCUCUUCACAACUCCACUUCCCUAUGUCUGCUCUUAAUCCUCCCUUCAACCCUUCCCCUUAUCAACCCUUCACCUUCUUAAUCCCACCCUUAUCUAAGAAUUUGAAACCCUCAUUUUUCGGUUACCCACAAUUUUGUUGUUACCCACUAUGAAAUCCUUUUAUGUCAAUAUUUUUGCAGCAAUAUCAAUUCUGUUUUGUUAACAUGUCUUUCUUUUCUUUGUAGAUUCAACAUAUCACUGCAUAUAUGGACUCAGCCAUCAUUGGAGCACGCUUUAGCAUUGUUUUGACGUUUACAGCAGAAAAGACAGUAUUUCAAGACACUACAUCACAUCCUUUCGUAGAUGCCUAAUGGGGGAGUUGUUCGUUCUUUGGCAGGAAAUUGUCGGUAUUAUAAAAUAUGCAAAUCCAGAGCUUUGAGCGCUGCAGGAUACAAUCAAAUCCAGUUUUGAAACAUCUGUGGUUCCUACAUUUGAGUUCUCCUGCAAAACCAUGUUUGAGUUUCUGAAGAAAACUACUGAUAUUGGCCAUGAGAAAAUCUUACAAGCGCUAUAAGAAAAGGUAUUGUGCAAUAUUCAAAUGUUUGCCAAAGCUAUGACCUCUCUGUUUGCUGCAUAUUAUGAAGACUUCUACAUAUUCACUCUUCAUAUUUAUCUCAUACCGAAACCCUAUAAUAUAUCAUUUCAGAUCCAAAAGCUGAAGCAAUCACCUUUUCUGCAACAAAGACUUCCAACUCGGACAAAAUUUUCAACUUCACCGACAAGGCCAUCUUCAUCUGUUACUCCAUUUUUAAUUCACUUUUUUCAAUCGUUUCGUUACUGCAGCAUAUCUCAUUAACACUAUGUUGAUUAUAGGCAUUAAACAAGUUAUUUAUUUA